rnacentral:rRNA from 1 species
UCGCGAAACCUUUACAAUGCACGAAAGUGUGAUAAGGGUAUCCCAAGUGCUUACCUUCUGGGUAGGCUUUUGCCAAGUGCAAAUAGCUUGGCGAAUAAGUGGUGGGCAAGACCGGUGCCAGCCGCCGCGGUAACACCGUGCGCCACAAGUGGGGGUCAUAUUUAUUGGGCCUAAAGCAUUCGUAGCCGAUCUAAUAAGUCUCUUGUGAAAUUGACAGGCUUAACCUGUCAGCGGGCAAGGGAAACUAUUAUUUUAGAGACAGGGAGGAGAUAGGAGUAUCUCAAGGGGAGCGGUUAAAUGCGAUAAUCCUUGAGAGACUACCCGUGGCGAAGGCGCCUAUCUAUAACUGGUCUGACGGUGAGGAAUGAAAGCUAGGGGAGCAAAACGG